AUGUCCAAUAACAGUGCCAGCAGUGGGAUCUGCAGAGGGCUGGGCUGGCAGCUGGCCAGUCUUGGUUCCCAACACCUGCAGGGGACUUCUCAGUGUGGCCUGUGUUCUGUCUCUUUCCCAGCAGUGUGUUGGAAGGUUGUCCUUGCCUCUGGCAUCUCUGAGGCUGCAGCAGAACCCAGUGUUUGGGGGAAGGAGCACAGCACCCUGUGCAGAGGAGUGAGAACCAGUGCUGCCCACAGGGCUGUGUCAAUCCAUGCUCCGUGUCAAUCCAUGCACUGUGUCAAUCCAUGCUCCAUGUCAAUCCAUGCACUGUGUCAAUCCAUGCACUGUCAAUCCAUGCACUGUGUCAAUCCUUGCUCUGUAUCAGUCAUGCACUGUGUCAAUCCAUGCACUUUAUCAAUCCAUGCUCUGUGUCAAUCCAUGCUCUGUAUCAAUCCAUGCUCUGUGUCAAUCCAUGCUCCAUGUCAAUCCAUGCACUGUGUUAUCCACGCACCAUUGAGCAGGUCUGGAUAUGGCCCAACCCUGCCAGCUGCUGUUAUGGCCAAAAAGGGCCCAGGAUGCUGCAGGGAGGGAAGCAGCCAGGACAUUGCAGAUGCCAGUGUUUAGGCUGGGCUGUUCCCUGUAUCCCACGUGUGGCCAGGAUUUCAGUCAGCCCUAGCAGUGGGCAGGAGGGCGCACACUUGCCGGAGUGGAGCAAAGCCAACCUUUUUCUGGGGCACACCACAUUGCAGGGCUGUCCCAGUGGCACAGCCCAGCCCAGCUCCUCUGCAGGCAGCUCCAGGAAUUUCAAGGCUGAGGGAAGUGUCCUAGAGAGGGGUAAUUUGGCCAAAAGAGCAGAUUUAACAGCUCUAUUUGUGCAGUAAAUAUACUUUAGGUCCUUUUAUGGCUUUCUCUUCUAGCAUGUCUGGCCUGGGAGUGUUGAUCUAAUUCCACAGUUAAAGGGAAUUUAGCUCGUUCAGUGAAGACCCCAGAAGGGAUUUGCCGCGGAUUCCCAGUUUCUGGCAUAGCAGACACUCAAAUCCAGGGCUUUUCCCGAGCCUUGCAGCGCUGGGAACGCCUUACCCGGCUGCUGCUGUCCAGGGCUGGGGGGAACUGGGCUGCGAGGCAAACACGGCUCCCCAAAAGCCAGGAAAAUUGGGCGGCCAGCUCGAGGGGGAGCCCCGCAGGGACGACAGAUGGGGUGAGCGAGUGUCCCCAAACGCCCUGCUCAGCCUGCGGCCGGUCGAGGCUGUGUGUUUCCACUAGAUGGUGACAAAAGGCUGCCGGUCCCGGGUGGGAGCCCGCGGGGACCCCCGGCUCCCCCAGCCGCCCUCCCUGUGCGCAGCGGAGCGGGGCCCCCUGCCCUGCCUCCUUCUUCGCUGCCAGGGCAUCCCGGGACGCGCUUGCUGCUCGCCGGACACCAGCAGCAGUCAGGAGAGAAGUUUUACCUGUGGCUGGUGCAGGCGUCUGCUGCCAAAAAAUUGUCAGGCAUCUCCAGCAAACACCCAGAAGGUGCUCGGAAAAGGGGGAAACGAGCUGGAAAAGCAAUGGAAAGUGUCCCUGAGCGCCCCAGCAUGAUAUCACCUGCUAUGUGGUCUGAGUUGUGGCCGCAUGUGUAUGGCAUGGCAGAGGUGACAGCAAAAAGAAAGCAAAACCAAAACCAAAACGAAACAAAAAAAAACAAAACAAAAAAACCAACGACAUCAACAACAAAAAACCCAAAAACAAAUACAAAAACAACAACGAAAAAAAACAACAGAAAGCAACACUAUAAAAAAAAAUUUGCCAAUCCCAGCAGCACCAGGCACUCAAAAAAACCAACAGAAAACAACACUAUAAAAACAAAUUUGCCAAUCCCAGCAGCACCAGGCACUCAGGGCUUGUCCUCUCUCUCCCCAGCUGCACAGUUCCCCAGGCCCUGAUUAAUGCAGUGCAGAAAAUGAGAUGGGACUGGGUAGUAGUCUAAUUAAGUAUUUUCUUCAUUAUCCCCCUGUCUGUGCCAAGAGGAGAGUCCUCAAGGAUGACGAGUAUGAAUUGGGUGCAGGGCUUGCUGUGACAAAUGGCACUUAAUUCAAGUAGCCACAGAAAAGAGCAUGUCCUCUGCCCUGAAAUGGGCAGCUUGGGACACGCUGGCCUGCAGGGAUGAAAGUCAACAUUGCCUAUCAGAGUACUGAAUUUCUUCUCUGGGAAGCAUCCUUUCUUGAGAUGGGAUGCUGCAGGAAUUGGCAUGGGCCCCUGGAGCCAGGCAUACCCAUUGUCACUCUGGCAGAUGCUGGGUGAUUACCCAGCACAUCCCUGUGCCAUUUCCUGGGGUUCCUAGACAAGGAAACCCAUGGGUGACUCCCACAGGGAGUUUUGUACAUGCAGAUUUAGUCUCCACAAGACCUCCAAGUAUUCCUUGUAGUGAUAAUUUCU
rnacentral:lncRNA from 1 species